rnacentral:sRNA from 1 species
UAGCACAGCAUAAUAAGAAAAUCUCCUUUUCUUUCUUGGACAGUGUUAUUGGACUCAUUUGUCCAGGCAGGGAAGCCGGUUCCUUGCCAGCAGAAAAAGCACCGCCAGUCAACACAUUCCCAGCACCCUUACCGGCAUCCACAGAGCACUGAGUGAAGAGUUUCUGGUUUCAAAAUGGUCCAGUUCUCGUUAGACCAUGAAAGCCAGCCCUUGUCUUUUCUGAGGAUUCUUCACUUUAUUUCAAUAGAACGUUAAGACUUUACUCAUAAUCUGUGAAUCCUGUGCUCGUGGAUAAAUGCAAAUAUUGCCAUCACCUUCUACUGACAGAAGACUCCGGUGUUACCAUGGAGAACAGUGUUAAUCCUUUUGUAAUUAGAGCUUUAUUUCAGUCUUCGUCGGGCAAGGAUGGAGUCGGAUUUUGUAAUAGAAGACCCGGUUUAUGUGCUGAGAUGGAUCCAAGCCAGACAGAGAGUGAUCGUGAGGACCGAAAAGUGACUUUGAGGACCAGGCUCUCUUCUGAUAGAAGGCCCCAAGAACAUGUCAACAGAGACAUUCAAAGAAGUUGAAGGUCAGCAGGGCCGAGGUUAUGCCAUUUUCACGGCUGAGGUACUGGCAUUUUGGUGUACCACACUCACAUCAACAACAUGUUUGCUCAGUAGAUGAUCCACAAUCUCUGGUCAACGGAGGAACUCAAAACAGUUGUGUAUUGGGAUGGUUUAGGCUGUGCGUGAUAACAAACAGCUCCUGUUCUCAAUGGCUUACAUGGGAUGGAGUUGUUUCUUGUCCUUGCCGCAUGGCCUGCAAGGUAGUCUGGGGUCUCUCUCGGCUUGCCUUUCCCCCACAGGACCCAGGCUGGAAGGCGGAAAUGGAAAGAAAUGCAGACAAUGAAAGGGUCCGGCAUGAAGAGGAUUGCUUCAAGAACACAUUGGCCUGAGCUGGUCAUUUUCCUGCUGCCUCAGAUUCCCAAGCAAGCAAGCCAGGAAGUAAGAUAGUUCAGUGUUUAGAAGGUGCAGAGAGCUGAGAAGGGGAAGGGGGAGGGGAAGAAGGGGUGGAGCUGCCACAGAGAAACUUGUCUCCACACAGCUCAGUGAGGAUGGAGUCCUGGCUGCCACAAGUUGGCCUGUCAGCAGAUUUGUCUCUUCAUUGUCUCAAUGAGCAUCUUUCAAACAUCAGCCUCUAAAUAGAAAUUUCUGAAGUUCAUGAAAUGGGGUAAACAGACUGAUUAUUGAUGAUGACUUGUCCCUUUGGCUACUAGCCAAAUUCUUCUAAAAAUCAUGUUUCUAUUUUGUCUGAUUAUUUUUCUCUAGAGUUUCCCCAGAAGUAUUAACAGAUUUGGGCAGAUAUCUGAGUAGAUUUUUUUCUUUUGAUUUUGAAAGCAAAUGAGUAGACAUUUUGCUGUAGGACAUGGUUGUUUUCUGAUCGGGUGGAGGCUAGUCUGAAUUUUUAUUUGUGUCUUUGAUGCCUGUCUGUCUGACUGACUGUACCUUGCUUGGAAUGAUCUCUUCAUGUUGGUUAUUGUAAGCAUGGAGAGAUGAAUGAAUAAAAACAAUCAAGUCAACACUGGCUUUAUAAUGCCUGCUUCAGUUUAUCUCCCAAGUGUUUUUGAGGAAUAUACAAAUUCAAUUUGACACUAUUUUGAUUUAAGAAACAAAGUAAGACUAUAGCAUUUUGAUAUCAAAUAGUAAGACCAUAAUUAUCAUGUAUUUGUUUGGAUGAGCAUAAUAUCCAGAGAAUUAGGUAAAGAUUGGGCUACAUCUUUACCUGGAGUGUUAUCAUCUAACGUCUGUAUAUGCCUGUAGGCACAUGUCAAUGUUAGGUCCUAAUUGUGUUCUAUUUAUCACAUAAGUUUCUUACUUAGAAACGCUCUUGAGAGUAUCUGUCGAUGGGAUUCAAUUUUACUAAUUAUUUGAAGUGUUCUUUCUGAAAGGAGUACAUUUCUGAAAGAGGGAGAGGAAGUUGUCAUAGGAGCUUAGUUCUGAGAAUUAUGUCUCAAAAUCAGGAUCCUUAUAUGUGGAUUAGUGGGGAAUUCAUUUAGUAUUCAGGUUGUGAGGCAGGUUUAAUACUUGAAGAGUACUCCACUCAGCCCUUGUCUUUGUUUCAAUUGUAGUUCAGUUUCUCACUAAUUUUUAGAAGUUGGUUCUUCUU